rnacentral:piRNA from 1 species
UGAAGAUGUGGCAUUGCAGACGGGG